CUGCAUGUUGUUUCCAGAUGUUCAUUCAGCAGCGUCUCUCACAGUGAGUCCUGACAGAGUGCAACACUUCACCUCUGACUCUGUCUCACUGACCUGUGAGGGAAACUUCACUGAGUGGAGAGUGAGGAAGUUCUCUGAGGACGGCCGACUGUACUCUGACUGUAGCAGAAUGACUGGAUCCACAUGUGACAUCAACACAUCAAAGUCAGAUACUGCAGUGUACUGGUGUGAGUCUGGAUCAGGAGAGUUCAGCAGUGCAGUCAACAUCAGUGUACAGAAUGAUGGUAAUGGUCCUAUCCUGGUGAGUCCUGUUCAUCCUGUGACUGAGGGAGCUUCUGUUAGUCUGAGCUGCAGUUUGAGAACACAAAAAAUACUUUCCAAUGUGUUUUUCUAUCACAAUGACAAACUUAUU